rnacentral:rRNA from 1 species
GAUGAACGCUGGCGGCGUGCCUAAUACAUGCAAGUCGAGCGAACGGACGAGAAGCUUGCUUUUCUGAUGUUAGCGGCGGACGGGUGAGUAACACGUGGAUAACCUACCUAUAAGACUGGGAUAACUUCGGGAAACCGGAGCUAAUACCGGAUAAUAUUUUGAACCGCAUGGUUCAAAAGUGAAAGACGGUCUUGCUGUCACUUAUAGAUGGAUCCGCUCUGCAUUAGCUAGUUGGUAAGGUAACGGCUUACCAAGGCAACGAUGCAUAGCCGACCUGAGAGGGUGAUCGGCCACACUGGAACUGAGACACGGUCCAGACUCCUACGGGAGGCAGCAGUAGGGAAUCUUCCGCAAUGGACGAAAGCCUGACGGAGCAACGCCGCGUGAGUGAUGAAGGUCUUCGGAUCGUAAAACUCUGUUAUUAGGGAAGAACAUAUGUGUAAGUAACUGUGCACAUCUUGACGGUACCUAAUCAGAAAGCCACGGCUAACUACGUG